UUACGGCCAUAUCAUGUUUAAGCAUCACUUCCCGUACGAUCACCGAAGUUAAGCGACGUCGAACCUUGAAAGUACUUAGAUGGGUGACCACUUGACAACACCAAGUGCUGUAGG